UACGGGGGGUGCGAGCGUUGUCCGGAAUCACUGGGCGUAAAGGGCGCGUAGGUGGUUUGAUAAGGGUGUGGUGAAAGUCCGGAGCUCAACUCCGGAUCUGCCGUGCCGACUGUCAAACUCGAGGGCUGUAGAGGCAGACGGAAUUCCGGGUGUAGCGGUGGAAUGCGUAGAGAUCCGGAGGAAGACCGGUGGCGAAGGCGGUCUGCUGGGCAGUUCCUGACACUGAGGCACGAGGGCCAGGGGAGCAAACGGG
rnacentral:rRNA from 1 species